rnacentral:rRNA from 1 species
UACAGAGGGGGCAAGCGUUAUUCGGAAUUAUUGGGCGUAAAGGGCGCGUAGGCGGCUUUGCAAGUGACGGGUGAAAUCCCUCGGCUUAACCGAGGAACUGCCUGUCAGACUGCAUGGCUUGAGACCGGGAGAGGUGAGUGGAAUUCCCAGUGUAGCGGUGAAAUGCGUAGAUAUUGGGAGGAACACCAGUGGCGAAGGCGGCUCACUGGACCGGUACUGACGGCUGAGGUGCGAAAGCGUGGGGAGCCGAACAGG